rnacentral:rRNA from 1 species
UACAGAGGGUGCGAGCGUUAAUCGGAAUUACUGGGCGUAAAGCGUGCGUAGACGGCUAUCUAAGUCGGGUGUGAAAAGCCCCGGGCUCAACCUGGGAAUUGCAUUCGAGACUGAAUAGCUAGGGGUACGGUAGAGGGGAAGCGGAAUUUCCGGUGUAGCGGUGAAAAUGCGUAGAUAUCGGAAGGAACAUCAGUGGCGAAAGCGACUUCCUGGACCAAUACUGACGCUCAUGUGCGAAAGCGUGGGGAGCAAACAGG